GCUCAUGGCYAUACCAACCUGACUACUCCCAAUCUCCUCAGAUUUUGGAAGAUAAAUGGGGUGGGGCCUGRUUAGUACUUGGAUGGGAGACCUCUUGGGAAUACCAGGUGCUGCU
rnacentral:rRNA from 1 species